GGUUUGAGUAAAAAGAGUGACGAAUGGAGAACUAGGGUGCACUAAAGAGGACGGAGCCCCCCGAAAUGGCGGAGGAGAGACUUUGAAGCCCUAAUGUCCCGUGCGGCAACGCAGCGGGGGGGCCAGGGGAGCGAAACAUCCCAGUACCGGGCCCCCCACCCCCCCCCUCCCAUCCCAUAGUGGGUGUUUAGGGGGGGGCACAGUAAAAAUCAAACGAGAUUCCGUAAGUAGCGGCGAGCGAAAGCGGACGAGCCCUUUCCUGUAGGCCCCCCGGCCCUGGCCGGGGGGCGGGCGAGUAGUGAUGGGAAGAUGGGUGUCCACACAUCCAAGGCUUAAUAAUUAGUGUCACACCGAAAGAGAGGAGUACUGUAAAGGAAAGUUGAAAGAGACUUGCGGCCGGGGGGCUACGCCAGUGCCCUCUGGCCACUUGAAAAGACCUUGAAAUGAGUCACUUAAAGCAGUUGUAAUACAACGUACCUUUUGCAUAAUGGGUCCACGAGAUAAAAUUUGGCAAACUUAAAGAUUCUUAGACAAUCUCGCAGCCACCCCGCUGCGUUAUCGCGCGGGGAUGGCUGGGGGGAUUGUUAUUGGCCCCCUAAGGUGUAGUGAAAGCAAGGCGCCGCUAUAGCGGCCCCCUUCAGUCAAAUUUCCCGAAACCAAGUGAUCUAGCCAUGGGCAGUUUUUAGGAACGAACCGGUGGUUGUUGCAAAAACCUCGGACGACCUGUGGUUAGGGGCGAAACGCCAAUCGAACUUGGAGAUAGCUGGUUUUCUGCGAAAACUAUUGAAGUAGUGCGUCCACAGUAAUGAGUCGAAUAAUCAAGAUUAUGACCCAAAAAGGGAGUGAUUAUUCGAUGAGAAUGGCUUGGAAUGUGGUAAAGCCCGACCCCCCGAAGCCGGGGGAUUAACUAUGAAGAAAAAAAGCCAGAGUGGGACAGACAGACUGUGGGCGAUAAGGUCGACAGUCAAAAGGGGAGAAGCCCUAACCAGAAGUUAAAGUCAUUAAUAAAAGAUUUAGUGUAAAAGAGAUAUUGGGUUUAGACAAUGAAGAAGUAGGCUUGGAGCCAGCCACCUUUGAGAGAUGACGUAGCAGUUCACUCAAGAAACUCUUUUAUCUCUAAAAUUAUGGUGGCUAAAGUUGAACUGAAACUCUGGGGGCGAAAUAACUUUCCGUUAUAUUGGCCCGGUAGCAGAACGUACUGUUAAUUGUUCAGUGAGAGCCCCGUACGGCAUCAGAAGUGAUAAUGUGGACAUGAGUAAAAAAUCAUAGGAUCACUCCCCCCCUGGUUUCCCAUAUUAAUUAUGGGGUUAAACAGCCCCUAAAAUCGCAGUCCCAAAGGUUGCGUUGAUGGGGGGCCAUGAGUAAUAGACGCACAAAGUGCCAGGAAAGAAUUAUUCAAGCCCUUCCCAGAAGGUAUCCUUCUGGCAAGGGUACUGUACUAAACUAACUAAAGUGGGGGAUAGUGAGGGGAGAAAUUUUCUUAAGGAACUCGGCCAAAUCCCCAUGGCCCACCAGGGCAUAUUGGAACACGGGCCUCGACUGUUUACCAAAAACAUAGCCCUCGGCUAAUAUGAAAAUAGAUGUAUAGAGGGUGAUGCCUGCCCAAUGGUUGUAUCUAAAAGCGGUUGAUAAAAGUCGACCUCGUAAGGACAAUUGAAUGGCCGCGGUAACACUGACCGUGAUAAUGUAGCGUAAUCAAUAGCCAAUUAAUUGUUGGCCAGUAUGAAUGGCGCCACGAAGGCCCCACUGUCUUAAGGAAAUUCCCAGUGAAAUUGAAUUCGUAGUGAAGAUGCUACGUGCAAUUUGUUAGACGAAAAGACCCCGUUGAGCUUUACUGGAGCACUUACAUGGCCCUGGCCUUCCCAUGCUUGGGAACCGGCCGAAUUUCCCUAUCAAAUGAUAGGCUACUAGAAAAUGGGCGGCUUAGAUUAUGUGGCAGCCCCCCGCUGGGGCAAAUGAAACCCCACUCCCCCAUGUCAAAGGGGCUAACCCCCCCCCUUGGGGGGACAGUGUAAGUAGGACAGUUUGGUUGGGGCGACCGCCUUUUAAAGAGUAACGAAGGUGCGCUUAAGGUGCGCAAUGAAUGACUGAAGCCUGACUGCGAGGGGGACACCCCGAGCAGACACCCCAAAGCCCGCCCGAAGGGCGGCGGUGGGGUGGGCCAUAGUGACCCGUUAAUUUAGAGUGGAAUAGUUAACGAUCAACGAAUAAAAGUUACCACGGGGAUAACAGCGUAAUAUCGUUAGAGAGUUCACAUCGACGACGAUGUUUGCGACCUCGAUGUUGAAUUGCGGCAUCCUGGGGUGCAGCCGCUCCCAAGGGUUGGUCUGUUCGUCCAUUAAAGCCGUACAUGAUUUGAGUUAAAAGCGUGGUAACACAGCUUGGUUUCUAUCUACAAAUUGAAGAAACAUCGAUAUAACUAUCUUCUAGUACGAAAGGACCGAAGGAUUAGUGAUCCUCUUAUUUUUUAUAAGUUACGAUCAACCCAUUGACCUCAAGUAACCGGAGGUUGCAACAGAGGUCUCUCAGCGUCCUUAAGGAGGGUCAAUAUGACCGAAUCACUGACCGCUUCUAAAGUGGGAAAGUCAUAUCGAAAUGUUUGGGCCCAUUAUAGGGGGGCUAAACCCCACCAUCACGAGCCCGCUCUUAGAGAGCGGCCUCCUAACGGUAACCCGAAGGGUUGCCUUAGGAG
rnacentral:rRNA from 1 species